rnacentral:rRNA from 1 species
CUAAGAAUAUUCCGCAAUGGACGGAAGUCUGACGGAGCGACGCCGCGUGGAUGACGAAGGCCGAAAGGUUGUAAAGUUCUUUUGCUGGGGAAGAAUAACCGCAGGAGGGAAUGCCUGUGGGAUGACAAGAACCGGCGAAUAAGCCCCGGCCAACUACGUGCCAGCAGCCGCGGUAACACGUAGGGGGGCCGAGCGUUGUUCGGAAUUACUGGGCGUAAAGGGCAUGUAGGCGGCUUGGAAAGCCUGGCGUGAAAGUCUGCAGCUUAACUGCAGGGGUGCGCUGGGAACUGCUGAGCUUGAGUGACGGAGAGGGAGCUGGAAUUCCUGGUGUAGGGGUGAAAUCUGUAGAUAUCAGGAAGAACACCGAUGGCGAAGGCAAGCUCCUGGCCGAUGACUGACGCUGAGGUGCGAAAGUGUGGGGAUCAAACAGGAUUAGAUACCCUGGUAGUCCACACAGUCAACGAUGUGCACUAGGUGCUGGGGCGGUAGCUUCGGUGCCGGAGCGAACGUGGUAAGUGCACCGCCUGGGGAGUAUGCUCGCAAGGGUGAAACUCAAUGAAUUGACGGGG